UUUUUAUGAUGAUAAAACAGACCUGAUUUGAAAAAAAUUUGAGAAUAAAUUCUAAUACUGAAAAAA
rnacentral:snoRNA from 1 species